rnacentral:lncRNA from 1 species
CAAGAGCUGGCCCCAUGGGGAGUGCUUUGUUGAUAGUGCCCAGUGCCCAGCAACCAGGCUGGGUUUGGGAAGGAGGCUGGAGUCUUCAGGAGGAAGGUCCUGCCCAAGAUGGUGCAGAGGGUGGUUCCCAUGGAUGCUCCUCUCCUCGCCUCCACACAGGAGAGGAAUGAACCUUGUUCCCAGCUGGAACCCCUCUCUGGAUUCCAGGUUUCCCCACCUGUUCUCGAGGUCCUGAUCCCAGGCCACGCUGGGACCCUUUCUCCAGUUCCAUCUUUGCUUCUUCCUGUGCCUUCCCCACCUUCUUGCAGCCCCUGGAACACAUCCCUGGAACAGCUUAUUCACCCCCACACAACCUUGAGUAGAUAAAGGCCCACAAAGGUAUUAGAGACUUCGUGUCAUCCUUUGAGCAAGGGGCUUGACCCCAAGUGCCCACCCCAAAACGCCUGUGGUAAUGGUGACACCAUAGGUGCCAUUCUGGGGAAGGGAGAGAGUGAGGGUGGAGGAUGUCAUCCCCAUAGUGGCAGGGCAAGAGACAGGUCCCCGCCCCAGGCAUCUUGGGCAGGUGGCUCCAGGUUCCGUUCU